CCUACGGGAGGCAGCAGUGGGGAAUAUUGCACAAUGGGGGAAACCCUGAUGCAGCGACGCCGCGUGAGUGAAGAAGUAUUUCGGUAUGUAAAGCUCUAUCAGCAGGAACGAGACAAGACGGUACCUGACUAAGAAGCCCCGGCUAACUCCGUGCCAGCAGCCGCGGUAAUACGUAGGGGGCAAGCGUUAUCCGGAAUCACUGGGUGUAAAGGGAGCGUAGACGGCUGAGCAAGCCUGAAGUGAAAGGCGGGGGCCCAACCCCCGGACUGCAUUGGGAACUGUACGGCUGGAGGGCAGGAGAGGUAAGUGGAAUUCCUGGUGGAGCGGUGAAAUGCGUAGAUAUUAGGAGGAACACCAGUGGCGAAGGCGGCUUACUGGACUGUAACUGACGUUGAGGCUCGAAAGCGUGGGGAGCAAACAGGAUUAGAUACCCGAGUAGUC
rnacentral:rRNA from 1 species